UGGAGAAUUCUGGAUUGAUGCGAGCCUAAAAUUGAAGAUGACGAAGAGUUCCAGAGCUGACUAAGCCUUGCCAGAGUGCAGAGCUGCCAGAGGCAGCUCUGCCGACUCUGCCCGACUCAGCUCUGCCCCGACUCUACGACUCAGCUCUGCCGACUCUGCUCUGCUCUGCCGACCCCCCACUACGUGCCACAUCAGCUCGGUAUUACCACGUAGGCGACAGGUCAGCUUGGUAUUACCACGUAAGCGACACGUCAGCUCGGAGCUUCACCGGAGCAAAAAAGCAUGGAAAAAUUGUUC
rnacentral:lncRNA from 1 species